CAGGGUCUCCACAUGACGGGUCGAGACCCUCUUCCCUCGCCGCCGCCUUCUCUCCUCUCCCUCGAUUCUCCUUGCACCGCCAACCUCGUUCUGCAUCCGCGCCUGCUCCGAGCCCCUUCUCUUCCCCAUGCCGCCUGCCUCCUCCUCUGUACCCCUCCUCUUACCAUGCCGCCGGCCUCCUCCUCUGCGCGUCUCCUCGUCGGUUGUCGCUCCAAUUCAUGGACCUCCUUGUCGCGGUUGUAGUGGUCGAACAAGACGAAGAGGAGCUGCAGCAUCGGGUCGGUGCAGCGGCCGGCUGCAGGGGCCUCGGUGGAAGAGACCAUCGAUGGCCGUCGACGGCACGGAUGACGACCAGCUGGUCUCAAUAUCCACGGAGGACGUCGUCCGGGCCUCCCGCCUUGUCAACAAUGAGAUCUGCGUCCUCGAGGCAAGCCGCACCCUCCCAAACCUAGAUCCCCUUGCUUCCGCGGAGCCAAGCAGGAAAUCUCAUGAGACUUGUUCCCUUGUUUCGUUUGUUAGAGUUUGGGUUUAGGUCUGAUUGAUUGGCAUUUCUAUAUCACCCCUCGCUGACGACGGCGCAUAGGACGAGAUGCAGCGAAGGAACCGGGAGAGUGGAGACCCUCAAGGACUUGCAUCAUGAAGAUAGCAGUUAAAAGGUGGCUUUAGUUCUGGGCAUGAACCAGUAUGGUGGUGUUUGGGAAACUGUUGGUAAAGUCAGUUAGGUAAUAGUAUUGAUCCCUAGGAACUCUCUGUUUCCCUAAGAACGAAGGAUACACUCACACGUCUCUAUCUUUUCUUAACCAAGCAAUUUCCUAUUUCAAUUUUGGCCAUUCCUAUCAAUGUUGGGAUGAAAGCUAGGAUUAAAACAUAAUAAGCAGAAGCAGCAAUCUCAGGAAAAGCAUAUAAUUUGCUUUGGGUAAAAUAAAUGCCUUGUCAUUUAAUUGUGUUGUUUUCCCCAACAUGUGGAUUCCAAAUUUUUUUUGUCAACUCAGCGGAACAACAGAUGUGUGCCUAUGCAGUUUGUUAACUUGCAAGAAAGGGUCAGCUCUUCUGAACAUAUGCCUCAUGGUAGAAAUGGCUAAGAACAUAAUCAACUUUGUGCUUACAUGAAGGUGAAGAUAUUUCAUGUUAAGAAUGGCCCGAUGAGAGCUUUGUUGUAUCUGACCAUAGUGAAGUAAACAGAGUCGUAUAAAUUAGAAAAUGCAGUCAUUAAAGAGAGGGCCAGAAUUUAGAAACAUAAUUAGCUUCAUAGGCCAAUCCUCUUGGUGGUUCAAUUUUUAAUCAUUUGAUCUCCUUUUCUGUGGCAUCUCUUUGUCUUGUAGGACCUAACGGUGCUGAAAACAUACCUACCGAUGGAGAGAAGGGCUCAAGAGGGACCGCUGAGCAUAAUGAUUCCAUAACUAGGCUAAAACAAGCAUCAGCAACUAAUGUUUCAGCGGUUGCCACAAAGGCUAAGUCGCUGAUCAGGAGGAAGAUCAAUUUUUGUGCCUCCUUGCAUGUGCUACAAUGAUCGUUCUCACAUUUAGAAAUUGGAUUUAGUCUUUGGUUCAUGUUGAGGAGUUUGGAUUAUUGUGAGGACAACUUUUUGGAGUUUGGUUUACCCUGAGUAAUUGUUGUAGGAGUUGGGAGUGCUCUAUAUGCUCUGCGAUGACUGCUUGCACUACAGGAGCCUCCCGACGAAGGUCAUCUUUCUCACUUUUCUCCCCCUCCAGCCCCUCCCUCUAAAUCCCAUUGUAACUUUCAUGUGAAAGAGACUAGAUCAUGCAUAAGAAAGGGCAGAUUAGCAUUUCAUUGGUGUGUGUGCAUCGGCAGUGAGCUUUUGUGCUACUUUUAUUUCAGAGUGAUGACCAGUACUACUAAUUGGCAGAUACUCUAUUUUAUUUUGUGUUGCACUUAGCUCAAAUUAUUAUAUUUUCUUUAGAUGUCGGGUGAAAAGAGGUACCAAUAGAAUAUAUACCAGAUACUGAUUAUCUGCGAAAAAUUCUUAGCAUGUGGUCAUCUAAACGUAUUUGUUUUUCUAAGCCGCACAAACCAGGUUCAAAGAGUUGUAAGAAAGGAGAACUACGUGAAAUCAUGUACCAACUACUAACGCCUACCAACAAUCAGGUCGGUUCAGAGCCAGUCGCAGAAAAUAACCAACGGAAUUAUGCUCAUACCGCGAAUGGGAAGUGCAACUUUUAACCAAGAUGGCUUCUAGAUCAAUGUAAAAUAAUAGAUAUAGCUGACACUUGCAGCACCAUCUCCUUCCCGGUGAGAUCGGUGAAGUGGUUGAGGCCGAGGGGAUACGUGUAGACCCUGGUUUCGACCGCGGUCUUGUGUCGAUCGACGAGGCAAAAAUGGAAUUUUCUCAAAAGAAAAAGGGGAUAGGUAGAUUUAGUGUGCAAGUAUAACUAGGAUAGAUAGAUAGAUAGAUAGAUAACGUGUACUACCUCUGAUUGGCUUUUGUUGAACGGAUUCUGACUGUUGUCUUGCACUAAACUGAACAAGUGCCCAUGCAGUUUUACAAUCUGAACAUUCAUUUCAUUAAACAAGAAAAGCUAGGUUGGUCAUCAAUGAAGCAUUUAUGGAUCCAUUUGAUGAUGAAUCCUAUCCCAUCCCAUCUUGAAUACCCCUCUCUGCAUUUCAAAGGUACUAGCUAGCAUUACCCUAUUUGUGUUUGUCGAUCAAGUUUUCAGAUCAAUAGCUAUUAUUUUUUUUCUAAAUGUUUUAUAUAUGAUAACUUUUGUACAUACUGGUGUCCAUAUAAGUCAGCUAUGUAGUCUUGAUAUUUCAUAUGUACCUUCAAUUUUUUUGCCUCAAGUAAUGAGAUUAAAAUAAGUUUUAUGUUGUACAGCAAAUAUCUUGAGAGUGACCACUCCAAAACUUUAUGUUGGUAGGUACAUAUUUGAUAGCAUACUGUAGUCAAGGUAUAGUCUGUACUGUCAUUUCUUUUUGUGGUUAAAAUAUAUGACAGUUCAGUUGUCCAAGAAAAUUUUAAGAGGUUACUUCAGUACUUUGGGUCGUUAGUUUGGAGAAAACAUUUAGGCUUUCCCUUCUGCUGCUAUUCAUGAGGAUGUCCCUUUUUCUGUAUAUUCUUGUGUUAAUUAAGAAAAGGUUAACCACAUUAUUUGGAGCUUUACCUCAGCUCUUAUGUUUGCAAAUUGAUUUGUUGAACUUUUGGUGCAAGGAGAUCAACUACCUCUUGCCUGCAUUGCCUGUUAGAACGUUUUGGUCAAGAAAUAUGUAAUAUAAGAGAUAUUCUCCACUUUAGUUUGACUUCUUGACAAAUGAAAUAAAAGUGAAGUCUUAUUGGAAAUACACCUGAUCCAUUAUACUCCCUCUGUUCCAAAUUACUCGUCGUGGUUUUAGUCCAAAUUUGAACUAAAACCAUGACGAGUAAUUUGGAACGGAGGGAGUAUAUGGCAAUGUCAGUUCUAAGAUUAGUUCUUAACUGCUUAUGGCUUGUUACCGAGUACUUCUACUUAAUAUUUCUUAUUAUUUGUUGUCAAAUAUACCUAAGGGCACCAUCAUGUUUAUUUUUGUUAAUAAUCACUGACUUGACAUUAGAGCUUUGUCGUCUCAGUUUUGAUUUUUCCAAAUGGAUUUGCUUAUCAAAUGGUUGUCUCUCGGGUAAUGCGUGCACUUAAUUCAAGGAAAAGAUAUGAAUGGGUAUGCAGGAAGGGGAGUGCGUUCCGCUGCUGUAUGAGAAAAAGUGCACGCAACUGAGGACCUAGGAUGCCAACGGUGCAGAGCCGUUCACCAUCGAGAGGACCAGGGCUACCAUCAGGAAUCUCCGGACCAAGCUCAACAUCACCGUCGCCUUUGUCAAAGACGUGUCCCGGAGGGUAGUUGUCAUCUGCGACUCCUCCAAAUGCUGGCAAGGAUGUGGCGAGUCAUUGGCGACGUGCACCGGGUGAUGAAGCGCAUAGUGGAUGAGGUGAGCGAGCUUCUCCCAUAGUCACCACACGGUCGGAGGCAUCAGAGGCACACCACCGCCGUUGGGGCCUACACAUGCGCAAUUUCUAUUGUUGUAUCUUAUUAGUUGCCAUGCAGCAAGAUGCUUCUGUCGAUGGUAUUAUAAUUGUUGUGUGUUGUCUGUGAUGGAAUAUUAUUUUCUUUCUCACGUGAUGUAUAAAUAUAAUAAGUUUAUCAAGAAUUUCGUAUCCAGAUCCAAAAA